rnacentral:tRNA from 1 species
GGGCCGCUAGCUCAGUUGGUAGAGCACUGCCCUUUUAAGGCAGGU